rnacentral:rRNA from 1 species
CUUGGCGGUGUUUUAAACCCCUCAGGGGAACCUGUCUCAUAAUCAACAAUCCACGUUAUACCUAGCCCUAUUUUGCUUUUACAGUUUGUAUACCGUCGUCGUCAGGUAACUUUUAAAAACUUAAAAUUUAGCAAAAAAGCUAUAUAAGCUUAUACGUCAAAUCAAGGUGCAGCCUAUAUUAGGGUGAGGAUGGGUUACAAUUAUAAAAUCAUAAUUACGAAUUAAUUAUAAUAAUACAUAAUUAAUUAU